rnacentral:lncRNA from 1 species
UGUUGCUAAAUACAUCACAGGUCAGAGCAAGCUGCGAUAUCUUCCUGUCACAGGUUGAGUUGGUCCAUUGAAAGACUGGGGCACCGCUGCAUCUUUUGUCAGGUUUAGCCCAUCUCCCUGUAUGAUUGGAAUGAAUACAAGGGUCACCUGACAGAAGAAUGCAUCUAAAUCAGGCCUGCUGGCAGGUAAAAGGGCAGCCUGUGGUCAUUCAAGAGAGAGACCCCCUCCAGCCCCAAAAGUUCAGAGAGCCACUCUCUCUCCUUAGAGAGGAGAGCCUGUGAAGAGGACAGGUGACACUUUUCCAGAACUCCAAGGCAGAAGACUUUUGGGGGAAGAGAUUUACAAGGAACUGGAAACUAUGCAGGGAUAUGCCUCCAUUGAUGGACCUGCAGGAUUCAGAAGUCCCAGCUAGGAGAGGAGUUGGACUACAAGGAUGGGCAUGCUCUGAUAAAGACCUGGAAAAACUUGAGGCAUUAUAAACUGAAAGGAAUAUUUGUGGCUGGAAAUGAAGAAGGAAAAAAAACCCUUCUUCGCUUCCAGUCUGAUGAAAAAAAUCACGAAAAAUCCAUCAGCUGGAAGAAGAAUUAAAAACAGCCAAACACUUUCUAAAGGAGACCCAGAAUUAUGCUGAAGAGAUGAAAAAUAAGAGUUUGUCUCAGGAAAUAGAAUUGGAAGCUCAACAAGCAGAGAUUCGGGAUUUAAAAAGCAAUAAUAAAUUGCUCCAGGAUUCAGUCCAGGAGCUACAACUUGAAAAUGGAACCCUUAAGGACAUUAACAAGGCUUUAGAACAAGAAAAAAUGGACAAUCUGAAGUCUACAAUUCAACUGAAGAAGCAAAAUGGAUUUGCUCACAGUAAAAUGAAGACGUGGAUGAAAUCCUGUGCAGAUGAAGUUGCCAUCCACCUACAUUCACUGAUCCAUGAGGAUGAGCCAGAGUAUGAGCCAGGCGGACUCCCAGAGGUGGUCAAAAAAGGGUUUCCUGCUAUUCCUAUUGUGAAAACCGACCCUUACAUUUUGUGCAGAACAACUUUUCACCUAAGGACCAGUCCCCGUCUUGCUGCCCAAAGCCAAAAAUUGUCACCAGGUUCCCAACUUUUACGAAAAGGCAGGUCAGAUAAUCUAGGGGUGAUCUGAAAACCGACAGCUGGUGGCAGCAAAUCACAAAAGGUAACU